rnacentral:rRNA from 1 species
CCCCAGCGCCACGAGUGGCACUCGCGUUUAUUGGGCCUAAAGCGUCCGUAGCAGGUUCUAUACAUCUCUUGUGAAAUUGCCAGGCUUAACUUGGCAGAGUGCAGGGGGCACUGUAGAACUUGAGACCGGGAAGGGUUAGAGGUAUUCCUGAGGGAGCGGUAAAAUGCUAUAAUCUCAGGAGGACCACCUGUGGCGAAGGCGUCUAACUAGAACGGAUCUGACUGUGAGGGACGAAAGCUAGGGGAGCAAAACGG